GUCUACUUCACAGGAGGUGGUCUACAGCAGAAAUCCUGUUUGCCAGCAUAUCUGUUAAUGGUCACUGAUUGCUUUACCUGGGCAGCUUGGCCAUUUUUUGUGUGAUGGUAAAUACUUUUAGUUCCCGAAUCCAGGUCACAAACUCAACCCAUUCAUACACAAAUAUGCUCUUAAGACAGGUAAGCAAAAGACAACGGAGAGGCUUUCCCAUUUUCUUCCUCCUUGCAGAGGUCAUAUUUGAGGUCAAUUUGGGAGAGUCAAAAUGGCUUCAGGAUUGCUCUCCUGUAUUAUUUCAGACAUGUAGUUUAUAUACUUAUGUUUGUGUUUGCCUUGUACAUUUAUGAACGUUUAUUUUAUAUUUGGGACCUUAGAAUUCUUAUAACAAUAACAUGGAGCCAGAUGAACUGGUUCAUUAUGGUCUGGCUCAUUAUAAGGCAGCUUCCUAUGUUCCUGCAUUGCCUGGGGGUUGUGAAAGUGUCACGUUGAAGAUUCCCCCUGCUCCCUCUCUCUCUCUUUCCUGGACUUCAGCUACAUCAGUACAAUUGAAAAUAGUUUAUUUUGAACUGAAAGGGUCUGACAUACAUGCCGUUUCAUUUGAAAACUGGACGAUAGCAAUACAGGGGGUGCGAAAUCGAUACUUCACUGAGACGGAGGGGACCAAAUGGAAUAGAGCCCAGCUUGCAAAAUGCCAAAUGCCAUGUACAGUGUGGUGGAAGGGCAAGAGAAGAGCCCUGUUGCAAUUCGCACCCGCUCCCCCCUCCCCUUGUUGUUUGCAUCUAUUUAUUUAUUUAUUUUAAGGGGAGGAACGCUUUGCAGAAGUCGAGUCCAUUACCGAAAUGAAUGGAUUCAAUAUCUGUGCAAUGAUGUGUUAAAAAGUGAAAGAAACAUCAUUAAAUGUCAGAGAUGUUAUUAACACAUUUUCCUUCUUCUUACCCGAAUGAAACAGGCAUUAUCUCACCAGGUAGCACGCAACCCGCUUGCUAUUUGAGAGGAGCGUGACUUGGUGGUUGGGCUGUCCCCAGGAGGCAGGAGACAAUGCCUGUAAUAGUUAUGCCCGCAUGUCUCUCCAGGCUCUGUCUUCCUGUGUGUGCUCAUACAUACUCAACCAUUGCUACACAAAAAUGGCAAAAAAAUACUUGUUAUGCAGAAAACCCGCUGGUUGUCUAUUUAAACCUGCAUUAGGAAACCAUGAUUUUUGUGCAAAUGCAGGCCAUAAAUUUCCCCCCCAUUCUAUCCCCCCUACCCUUCUGCCGGUGAAUAAUGGAGUGAAUCUGAGGAUCAGCUACUGGAGAAAGAGCUUUUGUUAGUUACCAGCAAGCACAAAGCUUUUCACUACUUUCCAGGAGUGAGUUAUACUUGGCCAGUUGCUUGGGCCUGGGUGGAAAGAAACUGGUCUUUCCCAGUUGCUUGGCAGAAAAAAUGAUAGGGGCCUAAGUUGAACCACACCAUGUAGUGGAAAUGCGGAAGACAAUUGUAUUUUGAGGAGUUAGGUGGCAUGUCCCUUUCCCUUUAACAUCCCCAGUUUGAGUCUUGUGUUUCACACACCUGUCGGGAGUUUCUUGGGUUCUUCUGUGUUGCAAGUGCUGGCUGGAUGCCCGGCUGCAGGUAGUGGGAGACUCUCAGCCGCUCUGUAUUAGUUCCAUCUCAGGGUCCUGGGCUAAUCAUGAGCAAUGCCAGGUGCACUUGAUUACAUCAAGGCAGGCUAUAAAAGCCAUAGGUGGUGGUGGUGGGGGGCUGAAGAGGUUCUACCCAGAUCAAAGGACCUGAUGCUGGGAGACCGACGGUCAGAGGUCUUUCUCCUGCUGCUCUCCCUGGGGCUCCGGGCAGCUGAAGGGGAGAUUGGGUAGCCCCUGUCAGGUGUGUUUUAUUUAAUGCUUUGCAUGCCUGCUGUUUAUAUUUGUUAAUAAAACUGUUUUGGUUCCCCUUCCACCUCCUCAUUCCUUUUGUCCUGAUAUCCUUGGAAAGAACUGCUGUACAGUGGUACCUCAGGCUAAGUACUUAAUUCGUUCCGGAGGUCCAUUCUUAACCUGAAACUGUUCUUAACCUGAAGCACCACUUUAGCUAAUGGGGCCUCCUGCUCCUGCUGCGCCACCAGAGCACGAUUUCUGUUCUCAUCCUGAAGCUUAACCUGCAGCCCUAUUUCUGGGUUAACAGAGUCUGUAACCUGAAGCAUAUGUAACCUGAGGUACCACUGUAUUUGGCAGCACACACCAUGCCCUCACCCAAACAGUACACCUUAAGCAUAAGCACAUGUAAAACAAAUGGCUCCCCCCUCAAAGAACCCUAGGAACUAUAGUUUAAGGGUGCUAGGAAUUAUAGCUCCAUGAAGGGUAAACUGCAGUUCCUGGGAUUCUUGGGGGGAAACCAUGAGCGGUGUGAGCGAUGCCUCAGCGCCUUCCGCAUGCACUUUGCCAGGAAGAUUUUGGGCAUCACAUGGCAGGACGGAGUCUCAAACACAGAUGGACUCUCUCAAGCCCACAUUUCCCAGCAUGUUUGCGCUCCUGUCUCAGAAACGUCUCCCCUGGUUUGGUCAUGUUGACAGAAUGGAAGGUGCCAUUACCCUAUGGGGAGCUGGCUUCAGGCACUAGGCCCAUAGGAGGAGGAGGAGGAGGAGGAGGAGAAGUUUGGAUUUGAUAUCCCGCUUUAUCACUACCCAAAGGAGUCUCAAAGCGGCUAACAAUCUCCUUUCCCUUCCUCCCCCACAACAAACACUCUGUGAGGUGAGUGGGGCUGAGAGAUCUCAGAGAAGUGUGACUGGCCCAAGGUCACCCAGCAGCUGCAUGUGGAGGAGCGGAGACGCGAACCCAGUUCCCCAGAUUGCGAGUCUAUCGCUCUUAACCACUACACCACACUGGCUCUCAUUGACAAAGAUGCCUGCAAGCAUGACAUGAAGGCUGGCAACAUCAACUCAGUUGACCUUGGCCCAGUAGACCUGAAGGAGCGUCUCCACCCCCAUCAUUCAGCUCAGACACUAAGGUCCAACUCCAAGGGACUUCUGGCGGUUCCCUCACUGCAAGAAGUGAGGUUACAGGGAACCAGGCAGAGGGCCUUCUCGGUGGUGGCGCCCACCCUGUGGAACGCCCUCCCAUCAGAUGUCAAGGAAAUAAACAACUAUCUUACUUUUAGAAGACAUCUGAAGGCAACCCUGUUUAGGGAAGUUUUUAAUGUUUGAUGUUUUAUUGGGUUUUUAAUAUUCUGUAGAGUGGCUGGAGAAACCCAGCCAGAUGGGUGGGGUAUAAGUAAUAAAUUAUUAUUAUUAUUAUUUAUUAUUAUCCCCACCGUGUGGGAAUCCCUUGCCUGAACCCUGAACACAGUGCCUGGAGACAGACCGUCAGUUUGUGUAUCCACAGCAGUGACCAGAGGACGAGGAGCACAGAGAGAAGAAACACCAUGAUGCAUCUGUAACAGCGAAACUGGAUGCCUUCAUCUGCCCUAGCUGCAACAAAACAUGUCUCUCCUGUAUCGGUAUUUCCAGCCACAGCAGGUGCUGUAACCUUCCAACAGUUUGACUUCACCUUUAAAGGAGCAUUCCUCCAUUGUCUCCCGAGACAGACAGAAGCCAACAAAAUCUAUAGCGUGGAUGUAUCUUGCAUCACUUCCUUGAUUUUGAAGUGGGAUAACAAAUCGGUUCUAAACCAAUUAUUCAUGGACAGAGAUCACAUGUACCAGGGGAAUUGUACUAUGCCCAUGGAUUUUCCCCCCACCUGGAACUUAUGGGAACUCAGUUCUGAUACCUCUCAGGUGGGUGCCGUUGCCAGUGUGGUGUAGUGGUUAAGAGCAGUAGACUCGUAAUCUGGUGAACCGGGUUCGAUUCCCUGCUCUUCCACAUGCAGCUGCUGGGUGACUUUGGGCUAGUCACACUUCUCUGAAGUCUCUCAGCCCCACUCACCUCACAGAGUGUUUGUUGUGGGGGAGGAAGGGAAAGGAGAAUGUUAGCCGCUUCGAGACUCCUCCUGGUAGUGAUAAAGCGGGAUAUCAAAAACAAACUCUUCUUCUUCUUAUAAGAGAACAAGGGAGGUGCUCAUGGUGAGUUCUGGCACCUCUUUUUAUAGAAAAAUAGCACUGCAUGCAUUUCUACACCCCUGCUCACAUGCUCCAGAUUUGGCAGGUUUCCAGUCCUGUUCUGCACCAGGUAAUGUGACAGGCUGCCCUUCUGUGUGUGAAAUGGCUCUGAGAAUGAGCAGCGGUGAAAGAAAACAAAGCUUUGUUAGGCAGCAAAGAAAAUAUGUUCUAUAACAGUGUAUGCAGGAGUUCCUUCUGUUUAGGGUGCCCUUGUUCGCAUCUACUCAAAGAGUGAAAACACUCUGCUCUUCUAUUGGUAGCUGGUGCCUUUUCGAAGGCAAGCCUUUGAGGCAAUCCUGAGUUAACCUCAGGGUGUGUGGCUUUAUUAAUUGUUCUGUGGUCCUUCCCCAGUGCUAGCACAUUCUUGCUUUCUGGAGGGGCUAUACCGGAAUUAAAGCUGGACCAGAGGAAAAACAACAAGCCAGAACAUUUGUGAUAGAAAAGCUAUAGGAUUUGAGUAGGCAGUUGCAGGAUGUGCACUAAUUGGAAACAAAGCCCAAAACUUUUGGAGGCACAAACUGUUUUGAAAGGGGAUUGGGUAUGUCAUGACAGUAUCAUGAGCAGAAGUAAUCAUGAAUGCACCAUAAAAAGUGUUGGGAUUUCAUUCCUCUCCGUUGCAGGAUGUGUGAUUGUUUUCAUCACAUGUCUGUGUUGACAUUCCAUACUGUUGGAGUCAUGAGAACGGAAGUUCAGUUACACCAGGGGUCAGCAAACUUUUUCAGCAGGGGGACGGUCCACUGUCCCUCAGACCUUGUGGGGAGCCGGACUAUAUUGUGUGUGGGCGGGGAAAUGAACGAAUUCCUAUGCCCCACAAAUAACCCAGAGAUGCAUUUUAAAUAAAUGCACACAUUCUACUCAUGUAAAAACAUGCUGAUUCCUGGACCGUCCGUGGGCCAGAUUUUGAAGGCGAUUGGGCCGCAUCCGGCCCCUGGGCCUUAGUUUGCCUACCCAUGAGCUACAUUGUUCCAUUAUGUUGUACUAUUGCUUUUCUGCUCUCUCGGAGAUGAAGAAGGAGAGAGGAGCCAUGUUUUCUUUUGUUCUGUUUUGUACAUAAUAAAGUAGCUUAGAAACCCACACCUCCAAUGCCUAGCUUUUGCUUGGACUCUGCUUUUGUAUUGUGGGCAUACAUCUUUGGAUAUAUGUCGCAGGAGUCCUAUGUGACAUGUGAUCAUGGCUCCUUCAAGAGCUUUCUUCCAGCUUCAGCUGCAGGCAGGUGAGCUAUUUUGCCUGUAAUAACUACCAAUGAGUAAAAUUGGGGGAGGGAGGGAAGGAGGAGCCAAAGUUUGAGUUGUCACACUUCCCUACAAUCAUCUCCCACAGAGAUGCUACAGCUGUCACUUUCUGUUUGAUGUUUAGAGCUACCAUCUCUGUAUUUCAAGAUGGUCAUUAAAAGAAAUAUUUUUAAAGGAUUGGUGUGUGAGUUUUCUUUUUUCUUCUCCCCUUGCCAUCCCCUCUUCCUUUUGUGUCAUGUAUUUUAGAUGGCAUGCCUAUGGGCAAGGACUGUCUUGUCUUUAUUGAUCAUACCUAAGCAACUGUGGAAGCCCUUUUGGCUGAAGAACAGGGUAAAAAUACUUUCCAUAAAUAAAUGAAUGUGGAAUAUUUCAGCAGAAAGAAAUAGUUAUGGGAGACAUAAAUCCAUUUAUUGCAGCUGGAAUAUAUUUUCCCCUUCUGGCAGGAGAGAUAAAUUGCCGCUAAUGUGAUACAAGACUGGUUUGAUUAUUUCAUUGGAUCAAAUAUAUCAUGCUGUUGCAAAAUCUCUCCACUUUCAAGUUGAAAUUAAAUAAUUUUAACCAUGACCAUAAGACAUUAUCAUUUGCAUAUACUUCAUCUCCAAGGAGACGUUUGAUGUUACGUAAUGCAUAAGUAUUUAAUUGUUCUUCACAUCACUCAAAUAUCAAAUUAUGUUCAAAAUGGGGAGGAUUCUCCAGGAAGAUUGCAAUGCUCUGACGAGGGCAGGAAUUAACAAGAAGUGAAAAACAUUCAGAGGACUAGUUUGUUUCUUCUUGGACUUUGGGUUGAGUGAAGAAAGCAAGGGUGUGUACUGUACAAGUUUGAUUAGUUUUGAAGAAUGAUGAUACAGUCCAAGAACACUUUAGAAAAUCGUAGUUGGAAGGUUGAUAUGUCAAUGACUGUUGAGGAAAAACUUUGUCAGGAACUCAAAUUGAGAACAUGUAGAUCUCAUGGGAUGAUCUCAAGCAUUGUGGGUUGGAAGUGAAUACAGUAUCUAGGUCAGAGAUGGGGAGCCUGUGGCUGUUGAAGUUGCUAGACUACAAUUCUCAAUGUCCCUGACCAAUUGGUGGGAUUGUACAGUGUCUUCAAUGCUCUUUAACUUCUCUUCAAGAAAAAAAAUCUGACAUGGGCAAUACCUGGAGUCAGCCUUUAAAAAGAAUUUCCUUACAUUUUCUUCCUGAAUGAAAAUCCCUUCCCCUUCUCUCCUCCUCAGCCCAAAGCAACAGUUAAAGUGUGUUCUCCUUCAUGGAGAGCACGUGUUGCGGUGGAGGCAGACAGGACACUCCAAAGUUGUGGGGCGGGCUAAUUGAUCGUGGCCACUGUUGUGAUUGGGCUUCCCUUGUUGGGAAGAAGUUAACGUUGCCAUUUGAUGAUUGACAGCCAGAAAUGCUAAAACUCCCUGCACGAGGCAUAGAACUUCCUCUUUUCGCCCGUGCAUCGGAUUGCCCGCCCCCCCCUAUAUUUAGGGUUGUUCGCUUUGACCUCGCUAUGCCUGUCAUGGGGUCAUCUGCUUUUGGGGCAGGGGCCCGGUAGGAAUUUUGUCCAUCUGGGUGAUUGGCUGGGGCCAUUUGGUUUUUGCCUACUGCGUAGCAAAUCAUCACAACUUGUAAGGUUGUGGUUAGGCAUUGGAUUAUGGUUUGGUUGGUUGAGGAACAUGGAUUGGCUGUGCCUGCCCCUCUAAUGCUGCUGCUGCAAGGGAUUCUGUUAAAGGAAUACAGGGGCUCACUAUUGCUUUCGUCCAACCCUGUCAAGGGGCUAGGGCCAUACAAGAGCCCCUGGUUGCAUUUGGGGAGGGCUGAGGGCAGGUUCCCUGCUCCGUCGCUACCCCCAAGUGUAUUCCCCUUUUCUGACUUUCGCAGGCGUGCGGAAUGUCAGUCUGUCCCCCACUGGGGGGGACAGAUAGUCGCAACCAAUGCCUAAGCAACCACUCACAUUUCUGUAUUUUAAUAAAGUUGUGGCCAAAAUUAUGCCAAAAACCUUAAACAAAAUUUCUGUGUGAUGUGUAAGUUAUUUGGGGUGGCCCUGGGGACCUCGACACACAAGUUUCUGUUUUCUUUUCAAACAGUUGGAAAGAAUGAAUUGCAGCACAAUCCUAACCAGACCUACCCAGAAGUAAGUCCUGCUGAAUUCAGUGGGGCUUAGACCUAGGUAAGUUAAAAGCCUUAAGCUUGUUUCUUCCUCGGUUUCAUUCUGUUCUUCCUUGAUUGCUGCAACUUGAAAAUCAGAAAACUGAAGACAAUCUGUUCCCGGUUGGUUCAAUCCUUUUUGGCCAUUUUCCCAGUGAUGCGAUUGCCUCCACUAUUAGUGGUGGAUGUUUACGUGAGCUAAUGCCUUGUGAUGUGCAAACACCAAGGAAAUAUUAUCUGAUGCCUCUGUGCUGGGAAGAGUUAAAUCUUUUUUGACAAUUCAAUAGUUCCCUUUGGGUCUUCACAAAUGGCACCUGUUGUUGAAGUCAAUAGAGCUUACAAUUUAAUUUCAUCUGCCUGCAAACAAUCUCUCUCAUUAGGGGGUGAAAUGAUGAUAGAAUUCACUGAGGCAUGCAGUUUCGCCUUCUUGAGGGCACUACGUAAGUACAGUCAUCAUUUUCAACAAAGGGAGGCACAAUUAUCCUGGAAACCGAUUGUAAGGAAGACAAAAUCUGCGGGGGGAAAAAAGAGAAGGACCAUAAAAAGUCGGGCUCUGCAAUUUUGCUACAUUUGUUGCUCAAUGCCAAUUUGCAGUGUAAUUAUUGUGUUUAACAGGAUCUGGAAAUGUAGCAGUCUAAAUGACAGGUAAAUGGCUUCUUCUUUCUUUCUCCCUUUUAUCUUAACAUUAGUGCUGAACUCGAUGGCUCGGGCAGUACAUAUUCAUGUGAGGUUUUCGCCAGGAUGAAGGCAGUCUUUUCUUCUGGGCUCCUCAUUUCGCGUAUUGCGUCUUCAGUGUUUUCUAAAGGAGAAAAAACAGACACCUCCCCCAAAAAGAAAGGAGAGAUAUUAGGCAGGCCAGUCCUCAAAGUUCUUGAAAUCAAGGAAGUGUUUGUCAGAACCACAUAUUUGGAAUGCUGCAGUUAUGUUUUUUAGCCUGGCUUUGGGAAAAGGCAAACUUUUUGCAGCUGAAUUGGGGGUUGUAAUGGACUGCACUUAUUUCCAGUACAAGUUGAUGGGCUCUGUCAAAUCUCUGACUGUCAGGGUCUUAUGUGAUGCUGCUACCAGAGACCUUGACUUAUGUCUGCCUUCCUGCACCUGUUAUGCCUUUUUUGACCAGCCUGGUGACCUGAUAAGUCAGUGACGGCUUUAGUAGGUCCAGAAAGGAAAUGGAAAAUGGAUUUACUGCCUUGGUUUCUACAAUAGCGACUAGUUAUCUUCCAAUGGCUGUGCAAUUCUGCUUCCCAAAAACUGUCUUCGUCAUGAAUACUGCAGUUCAAACUGUUUCUUCUGUGGGAUCCCUUUGAUGCAGGAUGUCAACAUUGCUUGGGUUCACGACAUGUUCAUCGAUAUUUCCCAGUUUUCCAUCAUGUGUGUGUCUUGGAAACGAAGUCCACAUCAUAGUUCACUAUGGCCUAUAACCUGCUGAAUUAAAGGCUUGCCUCAUUCCCUUAUAA